GGAGUAAGGAGAAAGAUCCCUUAUAAAGUUGUGUUGUAUACAGUAAAAGGCGUUUGAUUCUUAAACAAACGAAUUUAAUUGGAUAAUAACAUUUAAUAAUAAAGAAAGUAAAACUUUUGCUCUUGGAAGUAAAUAUCUCGGGUAGUAUUAGUUAAGGUAAAAGUUAACUAGCUUAAUACGCGUAGUCGUGACUGGAAGGUUGAUCGACCACAGUGGGACUGAAUAAAUCCCAUGACGAUUGUCUCAGCAGUGAGGAAUAUUGGUCAAUAGCCUAACGGCUGAACCAGCAACUUGGAGGAAUGUAUAGCGAAAGCUACUUGCAUUUAGCUUAGUUAAUGAAUGCAGGAUUGACUAUGUCGAAUAAAGUUCUAGGUGGGUUAUGAUGAUGACAUUUCCUAUCUAUGUGUCUUGACCAAACUACGUGCCAGCAGUCGCGGUAACACGUAAUAGACUAGUGUUAUUCAUCUUUAAUAGGUUUAAAGGGUACCUAGACGGUAAAUCAAGUCCAAGAAGGGUACUAAUUUGCUAGAGUUUAAUGUGAGGGGGCACUAAAGUACUGAUAAGUGUAGAGAUGAAAUUCUGUGAUACAAUAUACGGCACUGGCAAAGGCGAAAGCAUCUCAUUAUGUAAUAACUGACGUUGAGGGACGAAGGCUAGGUGUAGCAAAAAGGAUUAGAUACCCAAGUAGUCUUAGCAGAAAAUUAUGAAUGUCAUAGGAUGGAGAAACAACAAAUUUUUUUUCUAUAAAUGAAAGUGUAAGCAUUCCACCUCGAGAGUAAUUUGGCAACAUUGGAACUGAAAUCAUUAGACCGUUUCUGAAACAAGUAGUGAAGUAUGUUGUUUAAUUUGAUGGUCCGCAAAAAACCUUACCACAAUUUGAAUAGAAAUUUUUUUUUCAUACAAGCGCUGCACGGUUGUCUUCAGUUAAUGUCGUGAGAUCUUGGUUAGUUCCAUUAAAUUAACGUAAACCCUUACUUUAUUUUGAUAUAGAGUAGUUCACCGCUAUAUUGGAUAUGAUAACAGGGA
rnacentral:rRNA from 1 species